GCAUUGGUGGUAUAGUGGUGAGCAUAGCUGCCUUCCAAGCAGUUGACCCGGGUUCGAUUCCUGUAGUGCCAAUGCA